GACGAACGCUGGCGGCGUGCUUAACACAUGCAAGUCGAACGGUAAGGCCCUUCGGGGUACACGAGUGGCGAACGGGUGAGUAACACGUGGGUGAUCUGCCCUGCACUUCGGGAUAAGCCUGGGAAACUGGGUCUAAUACCGGAUAGGACCACUGCCUGCAUGGGUGGUGGUGGAAAGCUUUUGCGGUGUGGGAUGGGCCCGCGGCCUAUCAGCUUGUUGGUGGGGUGAUGGCCUACCAAGGCGACGACGGGUAGCCGGCCUGAGAGGGUGACCGGCCACAAUGGGACUGAGGUACGGCCCAGACUCCUACGGGGGGCAGCAGUUGGGGAUAGUGCACAAUGGGCGCAAGCCUGAUGCAGCGACGCCGCGUGAGGGAUGACGGCCUUCGGGUUGUAAACCUCUUUCAGCACCGACGAAGCGCAAGUGACGGUAGGUGCAGAAGAAGGACCGGCCAACUACGUGCCAGCAGCCGCGGUAAAAC
rnacentral:rRNA from 1 species